GAUGAACGCUGGCGGCGUGCCUAAUACAUGCAAGUCGAGCGAACAGACGAGGAGCUUGUUCCUCUGACGUUAGCGGCGGACGGGUGAGUAACACGUGGAUAACCUACCUAUAAGACUGGGAUAACUUCGGGAAACCGGAGCUAAUACCGGAUAAUUUAUUGAACCGCAUGGUUCAAUAGUGAAAGACGGUUUUGCUGUCACUUAUAGAUGGAUCCGCGCCGCAUUAGCUAGUUGGUAAGGUAACGGCUUACCAAGGCAACGAUGCGUAGCCGACCUGAGAGGGUGAUCGGCCACACUGGAACUGAGACACGGUCCAGACUCCUACGGGAGGCAGCAGUAGGGAAUCUUCCGCAAAGGGCGAAAGCCUGACGGAGCAACGCCGCGUGAGUGAUGAAGGUCUUCGGAUCGUAAAACUCUGUUAUUAGGGAAGAACAAAUGUGUAAGUAACUAUGCACGUCUUGACGGUACCUAAUCAGAAAGCCACGGCUAACUACGUG
rnacentral:rRNA from 1 species